CUCUGCCGGCGUCGGGACCGGCCCCCCAUGGUUCCCCUCCGUCGGCGCUAGCACCAGCUCCCCCAUCGUUCCCCUCCGACACCGUCAUCCUCCUCCCGACUCCCUAGGAACAAGUGACGCCGGCAAGGACGCUCCGCUCGUGCGGAUUGGCUGUGUCACAAGCCUCCUCGAGCGGCCCAAGUGCGGCAUGCUGUGUCGAAGCCCCUCUCCACCUCGCUCAGGACUGUUUCAGCAGUUAGACCAUAGCUCGUACAGAUGACACAUUUAAGAACUGGCAGUGGCACAUGAGAAUAUCACACAUUGGAAGCCACAGAUCAACAAAAAGAGUCGAUUAUGAAAUACCUUCAGUUAAAGUGGUGAAAUGUGAUUGUCUAUUUGCAGCACGCCGAGGGUUGGUAUCUCCAGGAUCUAUUAACCAGUUUGGAUAUGUAAUACAAAUGAGGAAAAUGAGGUUGUAUUAGGCGUAUGAACUGUAUUCUUUGGUACGAAACCUGAAUUUUCGUUUUGCAUCUUGUGCGUGCAAUCGUGGUCUGGACCUGGCGAUGCAGUGUUGUCGCGGCAGGGAGGCGUGGAGGAUUGGAGGCUCGCGUGGUGGCCGACGGCUGCUUGUGCGGAUCGAUGUCCAGCAGGAUGCCGAGGAUUGGAGGCUGGCGUGGUGGAUGAUCUCCUGCAGGAUGGCUGCGUGCGUCGACGAUGUCCAGCAGGAUGCAGAGGAUCGGAGGCUGGCGUGGUAGACGGCAGGACGGCAGGACGGCAGGGUGUGGCGUUGGGCCGUCGGGUUAUGAGGAUCUGGGGCAGACAGACAGCGGCGUGGGAGGAUGGCCUGGUGUUUGAGGUAGGAGAUAUGGGGAAGUUAUUUUUUCCCUUAAUUUGUGGCUGAAUUUUAGCCUUACGGGUGGGAGAAUUGAUCUCACGGGGUGGGGAGAUGGAACAAAUCUGGAUUGUUAGAUUAAUAUGCACGGAUGGCUGAGAUGUAUUUUUCCAA